rnacentral:rRNA from 1 species
GGAAUCUUCCACAAUGGACGAAAGUCUGAUGGAGCAACGCCGCGUGAGUGAAGAAGGGUUUCGGCUCGUAAAGCUCUGUUGUUAAAGAAGAACACGUAUGAGAGUAACUGUUCAUACGUUGACGGUAUUUAACCAGAAAGUCACGGCUAACUACGUGCCAA